AUUGAACGCUGGCGGCAUGCCUAACACAUGCAAGUCGAGCGGCUGAAGGGGGCUUUGUACUGGAUUCAGCGGCGGACGGGGGAGUAUUGUCCAUGAGUCCGCCUGGUAGUGGGGGAGAACGUCCGGAAACGGGCGCUUAUACCCCACACGUCCUGUGGGAGAGAGUGGGGGGUCCCCUGACCGCACGCUAUCAGAUGAGCCUAGGUCGCAUUAGCUAGGUGGUGGGGUAAAGGCCUACCAAGGCGACGAUCCGUAACUGGUCUGAGAGGAAGAGCACUCACACUGGAACUGAGACACGGUCCAGACUCCUACGGGAGGCAGCAGUGGGGAAUAUUGGACAAUGGGCGAAAGCCUGAUCCAGCAAUGCCGCGUGUGUGAAGAAGGUCUUCGGAUUGUAAAGCACUUUAAGUUGGGAGGAAGGGCAGUACGUUAAUACGUUGCGGUUAUGACGUUACCAGCAGAAUAAGCACCGGCUAACUUCGUG
rnacentral:rRNA from 1 species